GGCUUCGUGGUCGAGUGGGAAGGACACUUGUCUUUCAAAAAAAUUGUCCCGGGUUCGAUCCCCGUCCGAGGAGCUA